rnacentral:tRNA from 1 species
GUCUUAUUAGUAUAGUCAGUACGGUUGCCUUCCAAGCAGAUGGGUUGAUUGAAUGUCAAAUGAGAUA